rnacentral:rRNA from 1 species
UACGUAGGGACCAAGCGUUGUUCGGAUUUACUGGGCGUAAAGGGCUCGUAGGCGGUUUGUCGCGUCGGGAGUGAAAACACCGGGCUUAACUCGGUGCUUGCUUCCGAUACGGGCAGACUAGAGGCAUGCAGGGGAGAACGGAAUUCCUGGUGUAGCGGUGAAAUGCGCAGAUAUCAGGAGGAACACCGGUGGCGAAGGCGGUUCUCUGGGCAUGUCCUGACGCUGAGGAGCGAAAGUGUGGGGAGCGAACAGG